rnacentral:lncRNA from 1 species
AUGUCACUCUGCGUGGAGAUCAGCCUAGUCUCACUCAUGCCCUCUCCCUCUAGUGUGGGAAAACAAGAGGAACCUCCAAAAUUUCCUAGCUGCACAAAGAAAUUGGUGGAAAUUCACUUCAUUUUGAAGCUCGGGGUUUCUAUGUGGUUGAUUUAAUCAAAAUAUUAAUGUGAUUUUUCUAGAAGAAGAAAAAGGGAAAAUAUAAAAAUCAUGCUGAUUGGAUUUGAAUAGAUUGUAUUGAUCAUAUAUGAAUAUUAUCUUUCAUCCAGAUUGGAAAGUACUGUUUUGAAAUCCAGUCCUUCACACUUCCAAACUGAUCAUUUUUAAUAAGUAAAUGUCAUUUUGGCUUUUUUUUUUUUUUUCUGGUCAGGAAGAAAAACAAGAAGUUUCCUUCCGCAAACUUCCUAAAAGGUGCCAUGUGUUUUCCUAAAACCAAGGAAAAUUCUAAAAUAGAACUACCAUAUGAUUCAGCAAUCCCACUUCUCUAAAUCUCCAGAAUCUCCAGGGAUUGGAACCAAGUGCUUUAUCUUUACCAUAUACCAAUCCAUGAAUCAACUCCAAAACAGAUCUCUAGAAACAGACAAGACUGACUACUGCCUGAAGGUUUCUGACACCAAGUUCCUGAGAGGAAUACAUUCUCUUCUCCUUUGGCUGCUUAAUCCCUUCUCAUGAAAAAUAACCUUGACCUUUGCAUUCUAGAUGUACCAAAUAUGAAAUAAUUUUAGAAUUCGAUCUCAAAUGGCCCUUUUGCAAACUCCAAAAUGUUGUAUUGUUAUCUGGGAGAGAAUCAUUUGCAAGAAAAGAAUAACUUAUCAGAAAGGAGAAACUGCACAGAAGAUCCAAAGGCUCAACUGUUCCCAUGUGUACUGGGCUUCUGACUCAUUCUGGUUCUCAGGAAAGAGAGGCAAACCUCUGUUUCACAGCAAUUUUCAGAGGGAUUUGGGGGCUCUCGGGCUGCUAUGAGCCAGUGGCUGCUGUGUGCAUGCAGGAGGAGGUCAUCUUGCAGAGGAGUAGAGAUGUUAGCUUUGCAGGGAAAUAAAGAAAGAUAAAGAAGGA